GGAAAAUGUUUUACAAAGCACAGGUAAAAUGAGUAUGAGUUUAUAGAAAAUGUCUUACCGAAUUUAUUUCUGUAAGACAUUUUCCAACUCUCACCAGGUUACUUUCUCCUCCUUGCUUCCGUUCUUCAUCCCUUCUCCUUCUUCAUCCAGGCAAAUAACACGUUGCUGUUUCGUUUCGCUCAAAUCUUCCUCUUCGUAGGGUCUUGGCUUAAGUCCAGUCCUGUUUUAGAAGCAUUUGGUAAUACUAAGACUGUAAGAGGGGAAGGAUUUCAGGAGCUCCUAUCAGGACUUACUUAUUAGAAAGAUCACGUGUUUGUCAAGUGUCUGAUCUUGAGAGAAAUUAUCACUAUUUCUACAUGCUUUGUGCAGCACCACCAGAACUUAUUGGAGAGGAAGAAUCAACCAAAAAAAUUUAGGUCAGCUUCCACAACUAAGCAUUCCACAAGUAUGAAAACUCGAAGGUGGUCUGUCAUGAGGUUAGGCCUCUAGCAAAUAUGAAAACUGGAGAGCAGAAAUUCUAUUCUGGAUUAAGAUCAAAUACAACACAGUCAGGUCGGACAUCAACUGCAAGCUCUUCAGUAGUUGAAAUCACCAAAUAGGAAAUGCCAAACUGGUGGAGAUCCUAUAAGCACACAAGAAUCAGUUGCAAAUUAAAAGCAAGCGAAGAGCUUUGGUAUUUUGUUAGUUUGAUAUUGGAUAUUGGAUUUGGUUGGUAUUAGUACAGAGUUUGUGCUGGUAUAGCUACUGUUUUGUUUUUGGUAAAGGCAAUAUUUUGGUGUUGGUUGAUAUUGCUAUAGGCACUUUGUUAUUGUUGGGUUCUUUUUGCUUGUGUAAAUGCUGGAUGGGUUGAUAAAUGCCUACAAUAUUUCUACUCAAUAAAGGACAUACAAGGAUUAAUCCAUACUGUUGAUCAUUGUACUUGUAUAAUUGACUUAUUAGCUCGAUGUGGAAAUAUAUGACUUAACCCAUACUACUGAUUAUUACUAUUGUAUAA